GACGAACGCUGGCGGCGUGCCUAAUACAUGCAAGUAGAACGCUGAAGACUUUAGCUUGCUAAAGUUGGAAGAGUUGCGAACGGGUGAGUAACGCGUAGGUAACCUGCCUACUAGCGGGGGAUGACUAUUGGAAACGAUAGCUAAUACCGCAUAACAGCAUCUAACCCACGUUAGAUGCUUGAAAGGAGCAAUUGCUUCACUAGUAAGUGGACCUGCGUUGUAUUAGCUAGUUGGUGAGGUAACGGCUCACCAAGGCGACGAUACAUAGCCGACCUGAGAGGGUGAUCGGCCACACUGGGACUGAGACACGGCCCAGACUCCUACGGGAGGCAGCAGUAGGGAAUCUUCGGCAAUGGGGGCAACCCUGACCGAGCAACGCCGCGUGAGUGAAGAAGGCUUUCGGAUCGUAAAGCUCUGUUGUAAGAGAAGAACGUGUGUGAGAGUGGAAAGUUCACACAGUGACAGUAACUUACCAGAAAGGGACGGCUAACUACGUGCCAGCCGCCGCGGUAA
rnacentral:rRNA from 1 species